CAAGUACAUCUCCUCCGGUUUCAUAUGCAAAAAAAAUUAUUGCGCUAGCUUACGCGGUUCCGGUUCUACAGGGAUUUAAAAAUAAUUACGCAAAACGGCUUUAAAGGGUUAAUUGGAUUGUCCAAUUAAGAUGCUUGUCCAAAGUCCAGACUUUGACAAUGCCAUGACAAAAGCUUCAUUUUGGUUUUUUUUUUUUAAACAUUCAAAGGUGGACUUGCAGAUGUCUUUUGGGUCUUUGUCCUGUUGCUUAACCAAAGUGUGCUUGAGCUUCAGGGCAAGAAUUGACAACAGGACAUUCUCCUUCAGAAUUUUCUGGUAGAGAGCAGAAUUCAUGGCUCAAUCCAUUAUGGCAAGGCAUCCAGGUCCUGAAGCAGCAAAGCACCCCUACACCAUCACAUUUCCACCACAAUGUUUUACUGUUUCCGUGGUGUCCUUUUUUAUGGAACCUUCCAGGAAAUCCUAUUUUUGUCUCUUCAGUCAGAAUAUUUUCCUUGGGGAUCGAUCAUCAAAAAAAAAAGAAAAAAAAAAAAGAUUUUCGUAUGUCGAAAAGUCAUGAAAUGUGAAGUGAUGGUGUUUUAUUUUAACAGACUUUCAGAAUUUCCAGUUCUAGUAUGGGGAUGUGAGAAAGGAGGACCCGAAAGCUGGACUCUUUACAGUGACAGUGUGCAUCUGUUAUUUACCUCACUGUAAAUAAACACAUUAAAUCCCUGUUGCUCCCUAGACUCCUGUGUGUGUGUUCCCCUCCGACGUCCGUGCUCGUGUUUCUGCACACCCUGUGCGUGCUGUCCUUCUGGUUCCACGUUCCACCUGCAGGAAAACAACAGAAGCAGCCGUCAACACUGACCCCCACGGGCAUACACGAUCUGCACUACCGUACACUGACACACACUAACUUGAGAUGUAACGCAAUGAUCCCACGUUGGUGGGAGCUCCAACACUCUCCUAAAUAGCUCCUCCGACGAGCCCUGAUCAGCAGCAGGUGUGUGGCAGGGACUUCAGGUGUGGCCCUACACUCACACCCGCAGACACACACAUAUAUACACACACACACCAUGCCUACACAUAAAAUAAGUGGAACACAAACAUGACAGCAAUGUGCAGAAGACACACACAUCACAAAAUAAUAAUAAUAAUUAUAAUAAUUAUAGUAC
ensembl:lncRNA